rnacentral:misc_RNA from 1 species
UAAAUAAAAAUCGGGAUUGUUGCCGCCUUUCGUGGUGACGUUUCGGAAUUGGGUUGUCUUUACCUUCGGUUAAGUGACCUAAAAUUUUAUAUGAUUUUUCGAACGUAUUUAAAUUACUUUACGUACGUUUGCAUUGUCGAAUAUUAGGUGUGGUCAUUUUCAUGAUACGCGUCUAUAAUUUUUCAUC